rnacentral:rRNA from 1 species
GAUGAACGCUGGCGGUAUGCUUAACACAUGCAAGUCGAACGGAGCGUCGGGUUUAGUGGCGGACGGGUGAGUAACGCGUGAGAACCUACUUUCAGGAUGGGGACAACAGAUGGAAACGUCUGCUAAUACCCAAUGAGCCGAGAGGUAAAAGAUUAAUUGUCUGAAGAAGGGCUCGCGUCGGAUUAGCUAGUUGGGGUGGUAACGGCACACCAAGGCGACGAUCCGUAGCUGGUCUGAGAGGAUGAUCAACCACACUGGGACUGAGACACGGCCCAGACUCCUACGGGAGGCAGCAGUGGGGAAUUUUCCGCAAUGGGCGCAAGCCUGACGGAGCAAGACCGCGUGAGGGAGGAAGGCUCUUGGGUUGUAAACCUCUUUUAUCAGGGAAGAAGAUCUGACGGUACCUGAUGAAUCAGCAUCGGCUAACUCCGUGCCAGCAGCCGCGGUAAUACGGAGGAUGCAAGCGUUAUCCGGAUUUAUUGGGCGUAAAGCGUCCGCAGGUGGUUUUUCAAGUCUGCUGUUAAAGCGCAGAGCUUAACUCUGUAACGGCGGUGGAAACUGAGAGACUAGAGUAUGGUAGGGGUUGCGGGAAUUCCCAGUGUAGCGGUGAAAUGCGUAGAUAUUGGGAAGACACCAGCGGCGAAAGCGCGCAACUGGGCCAUUACUGACACUCAUGGACGAAAGCUAGGGGAGCGAAAGGGAUUAGAUACCCCUGUAGUCCUAGCUGUAAACGAUGGGUACUAGGUGUUGACCG